GUGGAGGAAAACUACUCUGCUCAUUGAAGCCAGGAAGCAGAGAGAAAGAGGGGAGGUGGCCAGGUGUGGUGAGCCGCUUCUGCCGUUUCUGCAGACUAUGGUCGCCAUUACAAGAUGACGCUGGCUCCGCUGUGGUCUGUGACAAACAACUUCUUAUCUGGGAAAGUUGGCACAUGAUUUUUCACCACCCUGUGAGAAAGCUCCACGCGGCAGCUUUGCAUUGGGGCUUGGGAUGCUUUAUUAAGGCUGGGAGGGGCAUCCGGGGGAGAGAAGAAGAAAUAUCAAGGGCCUGAAUAAACUGUUGAAAGAAGAUUCCCGAGUUGCGUCUUCCUUGCGGGCAAGGGGUCGCGACAAGUGGUGCCGAAACCCGGGAACCAGAACUUUCAACAGUCAGGGGUGGUGCACCAGUUAGUCCCAGGCUACCUGUGUUAUCCUACUUCUCAUCGUCGUCACGAUGCAGGAUGCGAGGCAAGGCACUGCACUUGAGUGAUCCCUCAACGGACCUCAAGGAAAGCAUGUCCUAUUGCAUGCGGGUUUGACGUCCACGCCCCGCCCUAUGAAAAAAGGCGUCGGCUGAUAUGGGAUCAGGUCUGGGGAAGGCGCCUCCUUAGGACUGAGUCAUACUAUGCAGCCACUUCUGCACAGUGGGAUAGGACCUCUACUCUCGCCUGUAUUGUUUUAAGAAAACAGAAAAGGGGGAACUGUGGUGAGCCGCUUCUGCCGUUUCUGCAGACUAUGGUCGCCAUUACAAGAUGACGCUGGCUCCGCUGUGGUCUGUGACAAACAACUUCUUAUCUGGGAAAGUUGGCACAUGAUUUUUCACCACCCUGUGAGAAAGCUCCAUGCGGCAGCUUUGCAUUGGGGCUUGGGAUGCUUUAUUAAGGCUGGGAGGGGCAUCCGGGGGAGAGAAGAAGAAAUAUCAAGGGCCUGAAUAAACUGUUGAAAGAA